UGGUGGAGCGAUUUGUCUGGUUAAUUCCGAUAACGAACGAGACUCUAGCCUAUUAAAUAGUUCGCCGAUCACGCUACGUCGGCGUCAACUUCUUAGAGGGACAAGUGGCGUUUAGCCACGCGGGAUUGAGCAAUAACA
rnacentral:rRNA from 1 species